AGCAGCAGCGGAGCAGCUCCAGCGCACGGCACCAGCAGCGGCAGCGCGUCGCCCGCCGGGCGCGCAGCGCGCAGGCGCGGCCCCGGGCGCGCACUGCCCCUGCCGGCUGCCUCCUUGCCGUCUCGCCCAGCCCACAGCCCGCAGCAACACGUCGCGCACGGCAUGCACGGCAGCCUGACCAGGCGCGCGCGGCACACGGCGCGCAAGCGCUCGUGCGCGCGCUGCCCUCGGCGCCGGCAGCCCUUGCCGCACCGCACCGGCACGCCUCCUCACACCGUUCAUCCGUCGUUGAUUCGUCGUCGUCCUCGUCUCGUUCCUCAGUUUUACAGAUUACAACGGAAAAACAAAUACAAUUUGAAAUCCUAAUCUAACCACGGAUUUUCUCGCGGUAAAAACGAUUACAACGUCAAACGACGUAUUCCACGAAUCAACAGACCACGAAGAACAACAGCAGUAAAAACAACGCACAUUAUUAAUCGUACAUAAAUUAAUAAUAGAGCCAAGAAAUUAAUCCUGGGCUCUGAUACCAAUUGAAGGAAUAUUAAAUUGAAUUAACGUUCCGUUUGCCCGAUGAUCGUUUCUUGGAUUAUUAUUAAUUUAU
rnacentral:lncRNA from 1 species